GAUGAACGCUGGCGGCGUGCCUAAUACAUGCAAGUCGAGCGAAUGGAUUAAGAGCUUGCUCUUAUGAAGUUAGCGGCGGACGGGUGAGUAACACGUGGGUAACCUGCCCAUAAGACUGGGAUAACUCCGGGAAACCGGGGCCAAUACCGGAUAACAUUUUGAACCGCAUGGUUCGAAAUUGAAAGGUGGCUUCGGCUGUCACUUAUGGAUGGACCCGCGUCGCAUUAGCUAGUUGGUGAGGUAACGGCUCACCAAGGCAACGAUGCGUAGCCGACCUGAGAGGGUGAUCGGCCACACUGGGACUGAGACACGGCCCAGACUCCUACGGGAGGCAGCAGUAGGGAAUCUUCCGCAAUGGACGAAAGUCUGACGGAGCAACGCCGCGUGAGUGAUGAAGGCUUUCGGGUCGUAAAACUCUGUUGUUAGGAAAGAACAAGUGCUAGUUGAAUAAGCUGGCACCUUGACGGUACCUAACCAGAAAGCCACGGCUAACUACGUGCCAGCCGCCGCGGUAA
rnacentral:rRNA from 1 species